rnacentral:rRNA from 1 species
CACGUAGGGCGCAAGCGUUGUCCGGAAUUAUUGGGCGUAAAGAGCUCGUAGGCGGUCUGUCGCGUCGAUCGUGAAAACUUGGGGCUUAACCCUGAGCUUGCGGUCGAUACGGGCAUGACUGGAGUUCGGCAGGGGAGACUGGAAUUCCUGGUGUAGCGGUGAAAUGCGCAGAUAUCAGGAGGAACACCGGUGGCGAAGGCGGGUCUCUGGGCCGAUACUGACGCUGAGGAGCGAAAGCGUGGGGAGCGAACAGG